rnacentral:rRNA from 1 species
GACCUGCGGAGGAUCAUUAAAAAAUAUCGCUCGAUUGAGAGUGAUUUAAUAAUCAUCCUACCCUUUGUGAAUUUGUUGUUUGUAAUAAUUUUUUUUGAUUUUAAAAAAAAAUUAUUUAUGGUUUUGUCUAUCCCUAAAAUUGGUUUGUUGUGAAAUGAAUCAAAUUUAGGGAAUAGGCUUUCAUAAAUAAGUUUUUUUUAAAGUCUUAAAGACCUUUUUUAAAAUUAAACUUUUGUAUUCAUUUGUCUAAAUUUUUUUUAAAUAAUUUAAAAACAACUUUUGACAAUGGAUCUCUUGGUUCUCGCAACGAUGAAGAACGCAGCAAAAUGCGAUAAGUAAUGUGAAUUGCAGAAUACGUGAAUCAUCAAAUCUUCGAACGCAUAUUGCACUUUUUUAGUUUACUAAAGAAGUAUGUCUGUUUGAGUAUCAGUAAAAUAUUCUCAUAAAAACAUCUUUUGUUUUUAUGGUUAUGAGUGUUUUACAACGAUAAACAAGUUGUUUCACUUUAAAUUCAUUUUAAUUAAGACCAAUAUGGUUUUAAUAAUUAAAAUUGGAUAAAAUUUUCCCGUAAAAAGGAAUAAACUUUUCAGUUUUAGUUAGAGAAAUCUCGGUCCGAUUUUAAAAGGAAAUUUAUAAUUUAAAUAACUUGAUCUCAAAUCAGAUAAGAGUACCCGCUGAACUUAAGCAUAUCAAUAAGCGGAGGA